GUAAGUUAAGAAACUGUUUCUUAACUUUUAACUAAAAAACCUAAGAACCGGUUCUUGAAUAAGGAUUUUAAGAACCGGUUCUUAACUUUUUUAGUUAAAAUUUAAGAAACAGUUUCUUAACUUCC
rfam:Brassica oleracea var. oleracea cultivar TO1000 chromosome C4, whole genome shotgun sequence